rnacentral:rRNA from 1 species
GAUGAACGCUGGCGGCGUGCCUAAUACAUGCAAGUCGAGCGAACAGACGAGGAGCUUGCUCCUCUGACGUUAGCGGCGGACGGGUGAGUAACACGUGGAUAACCUACCUAUAAGACUGGGAUAACUUCGGGAAACCGGAGCUAAUACCGGAUAAUAUAUUGAACCGCAUGGUUCAAUAGUGAAAGACGGUUUUGCUGUCACUUAUAGAUGGAUCCGCGCCGCAUUAGCUAGUUGGUAAGGUAACGGCUUACCAAGGCAACGAUGCGUAGCCGACCGGAGAGGGUGGUCGGCCACACUGGAACUGAGACACGGUCCAGACUCCUACGGGAGGCAGCAGUAGGGAAUCUUCCGCAAUGGGCGAAAGCCUGACGGAGCAACGCCGCGUGAGUGAUGAAGGUCUUCGGAUCGUAAAACUCUGUUAUUAGGGAAGAACAAAUGUGUAAGUAACUAUGCACGUCUUGACGGUACCUAAUCAGAAAGCCACGGCUAACUACGUG